AAAACUAAGAAUAGAGAUUCCACAAGAAUUAAGAAGAAUCACAACUUUCGCUGAAGUGGACUUGAGAUAAUAAAAAUUCAAAGUAUCGACUUGAGAUAAUAAAAAUUCAAAGUAUCAAUAUUUGGUGGUUUUUUUAGUACAAAGAUUUCAAGCACAUUUACCUGAAUAUGUUGUUAUCCCUUGGCCAGGCCCCGCCUUAAUGCUUGCAGCAUCUCAAGCCAAGAAUCCGAGCAAGUUGUCUAAAUGGAAGAAACCUCAUUAGACCCCUGCUGCUGAUUAAUAAUCUGUUGCACAAUGUUCAUAAUGCAAACCAAGUCAAACACAAAAUACAGAAGCCCCAUAACCAAUAGCAGAAAAACAUGCAUGUCAUUAGAUUGAUUUGUUGCAACUUUUCCAACUCCAACAAUGACUAAGGGCCUGUGCCUAACAUUGAUUAGAGUCCACUAUGUUGAUGCGGCUAAGAAAAGAAAAAAAAACAAAACUCCCUCAUGUUGAAGAGUUUGAACCCCAAAAAGCGCACACACGUUAAAUUUAGAUCGGUGGUGAUUGGAUGUCUACCUCUUUUUGACAAACACAACAUUAGGUGCUAAAAUAAAAAGAAAGUGAAGUAGGAAUAACUAAAAUCUCAAUUAUAACUUACAUUAGAUUGGUGUUUAUGCAAUGAGUUAGGAGAAAGUAGGUAAAGGAGUUGAAGAAGUAAUUGAAAAUAAGUAAUGUCAGAGGAAUCACAUUUUUCAUUGGAAUGUGUGACUGUUAAAGUGUAUUAGUUACAUCAAUAAUUGUAACUAAUUAUUAAUUAACACAUAAAAUUGUUAGAAAAAGGCUGAGAAAUUUAGAGGAGAUGCUGUUUUGGUGUUGGCUGAGAAGAAAAGUACCCUUUUCUAUAUUUUGUUUUGCUAACACUUAAGGGUAGAUUGGAUAUUUGAUAUAUGAGAUGCGGCAACUGUUGAGAGUAUUUGUCCCACAUUAAAAAGUUAAGGGAUUUAGUCUGAGUUUGUAAAGAGUUGAGUUACUUUCCCCACUGCCAAUUGGUUUCAGGGUGAAACUUCAACUUCUUUCAUGGUAUCAAAGCAAGAUUUCACAUGUUGGGCUCAACGGCCACACAUGCUCUCACGCCGCUCAAUAUGUAUUGUUCAUGUGUUAAACUUAAAAGUUUGCCACACAUACAAAUUCGUGUUGAAAAUAUUUAUCCCACAUUAAAAAGUUAAAAGAACUAGUUGGACUAAUUUUCCAUUAUCAAUUAGUUUUGACUUCCUUAAGCAAUGAGAGAUGAAUGUGGACCACACCAGACCGCUUGUUUCUAAGACCCCUACUAUUAAAGGCGUAUAGUAAAGGCAAGAAAACUUGCCAGAGAAAAAAAAAGAAGUAAAGAUUGCACUGAUCAUUGACAUUGACUAUUGCAGGAAGUAAACUGCCCCUCCUACACAAAACUGACACAGGAUCUAAAGAGCAACACUUGGUUGACCCUGGUGGUGAUUCUCAGCUGUCCAUCCCGCAAAAUAAAAUUUUGGAAUGUUGCCAAGAAAUUGGUUUGAAACAAUAUUUUCCAAGUUCCAAUAUUCAAUUACGUACAAAUCUCACUCUCCUUUAUUUUCUAUGUUACCUAAUAGGAGGCCCCACCUCCGUGAGGCACUACUGCUUUUUUGAAACUUGUCCUUCGAUUCUGACAUGUUAAAAGAUAUGGAAGAGUAAAUGUAACAAGCAAUUGACAAAAAAAAAACUCAACAAUUUCCUUCGUGCACAUGACGGUGAUGUUCUUCUUCUUGUUUUCAUUCAAAUCAUAUUCGUCAUCUUUGUUGUCUACUUCUUAUGAGAUGAAAGCUAAACUCGUAGCACAUUGCUAGAUGCCAUGCCUACAUACCAUCUUUCCAUGUCUAUUUAUUACUAGCAAAUAAAUAAUAAUAUCAUUAUAUUAACUAAGUCCAAGAGAAGACAGAGUAUCUUCUUACGUACCUGUUUUGUUGCGGGUUUCAAACGAAA
rnacentral:lncRNA from 1 species